rnacentral:lncRNA from 1 species
GGCUGCGGAAUGGAUGCAGAACAAUACAUUAAAGCAUGGAAUGUCAUAGCUGUUAAAUGAUUCUGGUUGUAGGAUAGAAUCCUGGAAAAGAUUCAAGUUAGGACAUGAUUGGGAAUACAGAAUGGAGGAAAAUGGUGGAGCACCAGGUACACCAGGAAAAGGAAGUGGGUCUUUAUCAUAAAGAAACACUGGUUUUGAGGACACCAAAAGAAUUUCCAGAGGAAGCAUAUGGACAUCAGGAAAUUACGUUGCCUUUUGAUCAUGAACGAGUCAUCUGCAAGUGUCCCUUGAGAGGUGAGAUUGGCCCAGGACUUCAUUUUCAAAGAGAACUGUUGGAGAAUUAAAGCCAAAAGCAUCUGGGACCAACUAGACAACCCAAUCAGCUUAUCUUUGCAUGAACUAUGACAGACAUCAAAUGUAACUCCAAAAAACAUCAAAGCAAUUGCCUGUGGAUUCUGCCAAAAGAGAAAAUGCUGCCAGUGUAAAAGAGCAUUCCUGGCUUAGCAGCUGGAGCCUCAAACUGCCUUUUUUUUUUUUUUUUUUAAUGAGCAAAAAUAGAAGCACAAACGGUGGUCAGCAAUAGUUGGGGAGCAUGAAGUGAAAAUAUUUAAUAAAAUGCAUUUGCU